UUCAAUUUUUUAAAAGAAUUUUCAAAUAAUAUAGUAUUUUAUAUAGUAAACUUUUAAGAAUAGAAAUAAAUUUAAAAUUUAACCAAUUUUCAUCUCCUAUAAAGGCCUGUUUUUAGGCGGCAGAACAGAUUCAUCCGUCACGGCUGAGACUUCCGUUCUUUGUUUGCAGUUUCUAUUUCAGCAUGUCCUCGACCAACCACAAAGGAAGACACCAGUUAUCGAACACAUCGAGCCAAUCGUUUAUCUCGAAAUUAUUUUUGUGUAUCUUCUUUUUCGAUAACGAGCAUCACACGACUUAAAACGAAAUUAAAACGCUAUCUAGUUAAUACAAGGGUAUAUACAAAUGAAUUAAUUUGAUCGUGGCUGCUGAUAUAACAUUGUCUGACGCCAAACCAUUGUGAUUGACAUCGAAUCAACGUUACAUAAAGAUACUUAGAUCGUCUUAUAGAACGAGCCAAAGGUGUGAACGUGAUAAAAAUCCCGGAUCACAUUUGAUUCCGGAUAAAUAAACGGUUUUUUUAAAAAGCAUUGUUCCUCGAUAUUUUGAUAA